CGAAAGCCUGACGGAGCAACGCCGCGUGAGGGAUGAAGGCCUCUGGGCUGUAAACCUCUUUUCUCAAGGAAGAAGAUCUGACGGUACUUGAGGAAUAAGCCACGGCUAAUUCCGUGCCAGCAGCCGCAGUAAUACGGGAGUGGCAAGCGUUAUCCGGAAUUAUUGGGCGUAAAGCGUCCGCAGGUGGCUCUGUAAGUCUGUCGUUAAAGCGUGGAGCUUAACUCCAUUUCAGCGGUGGAAACUACAGAGCUUGAGUGUGGUAGGGGCAGAGGGAAUUCCCGGUGUAGCGGUGAAAUGCGUAGAUAUCGGGAAGAACACCAGUGGCGAAGGCGCUCUGCUGGGCCAUAACUGACACUCAUGGACGAAAGCCAGGGGAGCG
rnacentral:rRNA from 1 species